CUUCUGAGUCUGGGGUGGUCUCAAGAUCCCAGACGUGCCCCCAAAUGAAAGAUCCCCGAAGAGAGACCCUUACUCAAGUCUUGGGAAAUCGCGGACCCCAGACACAGAGAGACCA
rnacentral:pre_miRNA from 14 species